rnacentral:tRNA from 1 species
GCCCCCAUCGUCUAGAGGCCUAGGACACCGGCUUUUCAAGCCGGCGACAGGGGUUCGAAUCCCCUUGGGGGUA